AGCAGCCGCGGUAAUUCCAGCUCCAAUAGCGUAUAUUAAAGUUGUUGCAGUUAAAAAGCUCGUAGUUGAAUUUCGGGGUCAGUAGGUUGGUCAUGCCACUGGUAUGUACUGGUCUCACUGAUUCCUCCUUCCUGAUGAGCCGUAAUGCCAUUAAUUUGGUGUUGCGAGGAAUCUGGACUGUUACUUUGAAAAAAUUAGAGUGUUUAAAGCAGGCUAACGCUUGAAUACAUUAGCAUGGAAUAAUGAAAUAGGACGUUCGAUCUUAUUUUGUUGGUUUCUAAGAUUGACGUAAUGAUUAAUAGGGAUAGUUGGGGGCAUUAGUAUUCAAUUGUCAGAGGUGAAAUUCUUGGAUUUAUUGAAGACUAACUACUGCGAAAGCAUUUGCCAAGGAUGUUUUCAUUAAUCAAGAACGAAAGUUAGGGGAUCGAAGACGAUCAGAUACCGUCGUAGUCUUAAACCAUAAACUAUAGCCGACUAGGGAUCGGAUGAUGUUAAUUUUUAAUGACUCAUUC
rnacentral:rRNA from 1 species